GACCGCACGGGAUAAUCGAUUAUCUCGUGCGGUCCACUUAAUCCGAUCGCACGGGAAAAUGAUUAUCCCGUGCGGUU
rnacentral:pre_miRNA from 11 species